rnacentral:rRNA from 1 species
GAUGAACGCUGGCGGCGUGCCUAACACAUGCAAGUCGAACGUGAAGCUUGGUACUUGUAUCAGGCUGAAAGUGGCGAACGGGUGAGUAACACGUUGGUGACCUGCCCCGAGAUGGGGGAUAACUCCUUGAAAGAGGAGCUAAUACCUCAGAUGACUGGACUGUUAGAGGGUCCAGCCUAAAGCUCCGGCGUCUCGGGAGGGGCCUGCGGGCUAUCAGCUAGUUGGUGGGGUAAGAGCCUACCAAGGCGAAGACGGCUAGGGGGCGUGAGAGCGUGACCCCCCACAAGGGAACUGAGAAACGGUCCCUACUCCUACGGGAGGCAGCAGUGAGGAAUAUUGAGCAAUGGGCGCAAGCCUGACUCAGCAACGCCGCGUGGAUGAAGAAGGCCUUCGGGUUGUAAAAUCCUUUUCUGAGGGACGAUAAUGACGGUACCUCAGGAAUAAGUUCCGGCUAACUACGUGC